UUGGGGAAAUUCGUGGUGCCGCUAUUAUAUGUAGCGUAAGAUGAAUAUUGAGACAUGGAGCUGGGCGUCGUGUAUGAGGUCAGAUAAGAACUUUGCAAGCCCGAGGUGUUUUUCCCGGCUGUGGUUGUCCCGUAGGGAGAAUAGAAGAACCCAGUGGCGUGACAUGACGCGGCGCAACCACCAGCCACCGGGUUUCUCGUUUUAAUUCAAUCGACCGGCGGCACACGCAAAAGGGAAGCGGGAAAUACAGACAGAAGCCUUUUCAAAACGUCGAAUUUAAACCGUUUUAUUGCAGGUCCGGUUUCGGCUAUCAUUGUCGAUGGUGCGAAACGUUAUAAACACAAAUUUUUCGCUUUUUAUUUUCCCAGGAUACUUCAUCGUCGCGAUUAUAUGUUACAUUGCAUCGAUGAGACGAAAGAGAAGAAAAAUUGAGAACAAAUAAACGAAUAAAUAAAUUAAUAAAA